rnacentral:rRNA from 1 species
GAUGAACGCUGACAGAAUGCUUAACACAUGCAAGUCGAUUCGAUUUACCUUCGGGGUAUUGAGGAUGGCGGACGGGUGAGUAACGCGUAAGGAACUUGCCUCUUGGACUGGGACAACUGUUGGAAACGACAGCUAAUACCGGAUAUUAUGAGAUUCUCGCAUGGGAAACUUAUGAAAGCUAUAUGCGCCAAGAGAGAGCCUUGCGUUCCAUUAGCUAGUUGGUGGGGUAAUGGCCCACCAAGGCGACGAUGGAUAGCCGGCCUGAGAGGGUGAACGGCCACAAGGGGACUGAGACACGG